rnacentral:rRNA from 1 species
UGCCUAACACAUGCAAGUCGAGCGAUUUUCUUCGGAAGAGAGCGGCGGACGGGUGAGUAACGCGUGGGUAACCUGCCCUGUACACACGGAUAACAUACCGAAAGGUAUGCUAAUACGGGAUAACAUAAGAAAGUCGCAUGGCUUUCUUAUCAAAGCUUUUGCGGUACAGGAUGGACCCGCGUCUGAUUAGCUAGUUGGUAAGGUAACGGCUUACCAAGGCGACGAUCAGUAGCCGACCUGAGAGGGUGAUCGGCCACAUUGGAACUGAGACACGGUCCAAACUCCUACGGGAGGCAGCAGUGGGGAAUAUUGCACAAUGGGCGAAAGCCUGAUGCAGCAACGCCGCGUGAGCGAUGAAGGCCUUCGGGUCGUAAAGCUCUGUCCUCAAGGAAGAUAAUGACGGUACUUGAGGAGGAAGCCCCGGCUAACUACGUGCCAGCAGCCGCGGUAAUACGUAGGGGGCUAGCGUUAUCCGGAAUUACUGGGCGUAAAGGGUGCGUAGGCGGUCUUUCAAGUCAGAAGUGAAAGGCUACGGCUCAACCGUAGUAAGCUUUUGAAACUGUAAGACUUGAGUGCAGGAGAGGAGAGUGGAAUUCCUAGUGUAGCGGUGAAAUGCGUAGAUAUUAGGAGGAACACCAGUUGCGAAGGCGGCUCUCUGGACUGUAACUGACGCUGAGGCACGAAAGCGUGGGGAGCAAACAGG